rnacentral:rRNA from 1 species
GUUGAACGCUGGCGGCAUGCCUUACACAUGCAAGUCGAACGGCAGCACGGGUGCUUGCACCUGGUGGCGAGUGGCGAACGGGUGAGUAAUAUAUCGGAACGUACCUUAUUGUGGGGGAUAACGCAGCGAAAGCUGUGCUAAUACCGCAUAAUCCCUAAGGGGGAAAGCGGGGGACCGUAAGGCCUCGCGCAAUUAGAGCGGCCGAUACCUGAUUAGCUAGUUGGUGAGGUAAAGGCUCACCAAGGCAACGAUCAGUAGCUGGUCUGAGAGGACGAUCAGCCACACUGGGACUGAGACACGGCCCAGACUCCUACGGGAGGCAGCAGUGGGGAAUUUUGGACAAUGGGGGCAACCCUGAUCCAGCAAUGCCGCGUGAGUGAAGAAGGCCUUCGGGUUGUAAGGCUCUUUUGUCAGGGAAGAAACAGCAGCUCUAACACAGUAUGCGAAUGACGGUACCUGAAGAAUAAGCACCGGCUAACUACGUGCCAGCCGCCGCAGUAA